GAUGAACGCUAGCGGCAGGCCUAACACAUGCAAGUCGAGGGGCAGCACAGAAACAGCAAUGUUUUGGUGGCGACCGGCGGACGGGUGCGUAACGCGUAUGCAACCUACCUUUAACAGGGGGAUAACGGAGAGAAAUUUCCACUAAUACCCCAUAACAUCGAUCAAGGCAUCUUGAUUGGUUGAAAACUCCGGUGGUUAAAGAUGGGCAUGCGUUGUAUUAGGUAGUUGGUGAGGUAAUGGCUCACCAAGCCUACGAUACAUAGGGGGACUGAGAGGUUAGCCCCCCACACUGGUACUGAGACACGGACCAGACUCCUACGGGAGGCAGCAGUGAGGGAUAUUGGUCAAUGGGGGCAACCCUGAACCAGCCAUGCCGCGUGCAGGAAGACGGCUCUAUGAGUUGUAAACUGCUUUUAAACAGGGACAAAGCACAGUAUGUAUACUGUGUUGAAGGUACUGUAAGAAUAAGGAUCGGCUAACUCCGUGCCAGCCGCCGCGGUAA
rnacentral:rRNA from 1 species